AUUGAACGCUGGCGGCAGGCCUAACACAUGCAAGUCGAACGAGUGGCGGACGGGUGAGUAAUGUCUGGGAAACUGCCUGAUGGAGGGGGAUAACUACUGGAAACGGUAGCUAAUACCGCAUCCCAUCGGAUGUGCCCAGAUGGGAUUAGCUCGUAGGUGGGGUAAAGGCUCACCUAGGCGACGGUCCCUAGCUGGUCUGAGAGGAUGAACCGCCACCAUGGAACUUAGAUACGGUCGAGACUCCUACGGGAGGCAGCAGUGGGUAAUAUUGCACAUGGGAGGCAAGCCUGAGGCAGCCAUGCCGCGUGUAUGAAGAAGGCCUUCUGGUUGUAAAAUACUGUCAGCGGGGAGGCGUUACCCGUAGAAGAAGCACCGGCUAACUCCGUGCCAGCCGCCGCGGUAAUUC
rnacentral:rRNA from 1 species